GACGAACGCUGGCGGCGUGGAUUAGGCAUGCAAGUCGAACGGUAUCAUCCUUUCGGGGGUGAGAGAGUGGCGAACUGGUGAGUAACACGUAGGUUAUCUACCCUCAAGACGGGGACAACCCAGGGAAACUUGGGCUAAUACCGGAUGUGAGCAACUUUUAGUUGUUUGAAAGGUGGCGUAAGCUGUCGCUUGGGGAUGAGCCUGCGUCCUAUUAGUUAGUUGGUGAGGUAACGGCUCACCUAGGCAAUGAUAGGUAGGCGGCCUUAACGGGUGGUCGCCCACACUGGGAUUGAGAUACGGCCCAGACUCCUACGGGAGGCAGCAGUCGAGAAUAGUCUACAAUGGUCGGAAGACUGAUAGUGCGACGCCGCGUGAACGAUGAAUCCCUUCGGGGUGUAAAGUUCUUUUAUAUGUGAGCAGUGCUUCUUAUAUUAACAGUAUGGGGACGAGAGAUAUUAGCAUAUGAAUAAGCAACGGCUAACUCCGUGCCAGCAGCCGCGGUAAACUCGU
rnacentral:rRNA from 1 species